rnacentral:rRNA from 1 species
AGAACGAACGCUGGCGGUAUGCUUAACACAUGCAAGUCGAACGCGAAAGUUUCUUCGGAAGCAAGUAGAGUGGCGCACGGGUGAGUAACGCGUAGAUAAUCUACCCUGAAGUUUGGGACAACCUUCCGAAAGGAGGGCUAAUACCGGAUAAUACUUUUUACCUGGUGGUGAAGAGUUAAAAGAUUUAUCGCUUCAGGAUGAGUCUGCGUAACAUUAGCUUGUUGGUGGGGUAAAGGCCUACCAAGGCAACGAUGUUUAGCGGGUCUGAGAGGAUGAUCCGCCACACUGGAACUGAGACACGGUCCAGACUCCUACGGGAGGCAGCAGUGGGGAAUUUUGCGCAAUGGGCGAAAGCCUGACGCAGCAAUACCGCGUGAGUGAAGAAGGCCCCUGGGUCGUAAAGCUCUUUGUCGAAGGGAAGAUAAUGACGGUACCUUCGGAAUAAGCACCGGCUAACUCCGUGCCAGCAGCCGCGGUAAUACGGAGGGUGCAAGCGUUGUUCGGAUUUACUGGGCGUAAAGGGCGCGUAGGCGGUUUGGUAAGUUAAGGGUGAAAUCCCGGGGCUCAACCCCGGAACUGCUCUUGAAACUGCCAGACUGGAGACAGAUAGAGGUGAGUGGAAUUCCUGGUGUAGAGGUGAAAUUCGUAGAUAUCAGGAGGAACACCGGCGGCGAAGGCGGCUCACUGGAUCUGUUCUGACGCUGAGGCGCGAAAGCGUGGGGAGCAAACGGGAUUAGAUACCCCGGUAGUCCACGCCGUAAACGAUGAAUACCAGCUGUUUGGACAAUCGACCGUUCAAGUGGCGCAGCUAACGCGAUGAGUAUUCCGCCUGGGAAGUACGGUCGCAAGACUA